rnacentral:rRNA from 1 species
GUGGGGAAUAUUGCGCAAUGGGGGAAACCCUGACGCAGCAACGCCGCGUGAGUGAGGAAGGACUUCGGUCUGUAAAGCUCUGUUAAUGUGGAAAAAUGGUAGUUGGUCUAAUAGGCCGAUUAUUUGAUGGUACACAUAGAGGAAGCACCGGCUAACUUCGUGCCAGCAGCCGCGGUAAUACGAAGGGUGCAAGCGUUGUUCGGAUUUAUUGGGCGUAAAGCGCGCGUAGGCGGACCUGCAAGUCAGAUGUGAAAUCUCGGGGCUCAACCCCGAAACUGCGUCUGAAACUACAGGUCUAGAAUCUUGGAGGGGGAAGGGGAAUAUCGCAUGUAGGGGUAAAAUCCGUAGAUAUGCGAUGGAACACCAGAGGCGAAGGCGCCUUCCUGGACAAGUAUUGACGCUGAGGCGCGAAAGCGUGGGGAUCAAACAGGAUUAGAUACCCCAGUAGUCC